rnacentral:tmRNA from 1 species
GGGGCCUUAAUGGUUUCGACGUGUUGGUGAAAGCCAACCCGUGAUACAGGUCGAGAGUGAGUCUUCUCUCGUAAAUCCCGGACUCAAACAAAAGUAACUGCGAACAACAUCGUUCCUUUUGCUCGUAAGGCAGCUCCUGUAGCCGCUUAAACACCUCUUAUAGGUUCGAGCGUUCUUAGUCUGACUCCGUUAAGGGCUAAGGACACAACCCCAACGGAUGCGCUAGUUAGCUGUCUUUGGUCGGCUGGUUAGCAAAGACCUAACCAAAGCAUCCCACCAUCCGGGAUAAUGGAUGGUUCCCGCCCUGAGGAUGAGAAGGGCUAAACCUGUGAAUGAUCGGUAGGUAAAUACCCAAUGCGGACACGGGUUCAAUUCCCGUAGGCUCCAUUC